UUUUUCCAGAUCCAAUCCAAUAUAAACAGGUUAUUGGAUUGUAAUAAUAUGGUUCGGCCGAAACUGUAUAUAUAUAUAAAAGUUGGUACAUAUUUAAUAUUUUGACACUUGACUUGUUGGUUGUUGGCAACAAGGUUAAGUUUUUGGUAUGAAUGAGGUUCAGGGUUCAAUUCCUGGAUAGAGCAAUUUGCUAUUUUAUUUUUUUAAUGGAGUAUUUUAUAAUGGUUCAAUUAUUUUAAACUCAUGUAUAGUUUUAGCAAAUUAUGAAUUAUUUUAUUUUAUUUAAUUAACAUCAUAAUGUAUUGAUUGAUGCCAUAAUAUUGUAGAUAAAAUAUUUAUAUUGAAAAUUUAACAUGCUAAUAAUUGUUAAAUUUUGUUAGAUAUGGCAUGUUCAUAAAUGUUAAAUUUUUUUUGUUAGAUAUGGCACGUACUAUUCGGACUAAGAGAGUCUUGAGGGGAAGAUGUGGUGAUAGAUUAUUGCGCCCCAUCAUGACUUAUAAGAUGAAUCCGUCACACUCCAUGGAACAACAUAUAUCAUUUUUAGACGACUUGUUCAAUGUGCUUGAAAAUGACGAUUAUAUCAUUCAAGAUUUUCAGAGAGCACUUGCAUUGAGAAAUUCAAUACCAGAUUAUUGGGCUAAAACUUGGUGGAAUAUAUUUAAAAAUAAGUAUGAUUUCAUAGUAUCUUAUGGUGAUCUGGUAUCGANAUGGUGCAUAUAAUUAAAUAUUGUAUUUUCAAUUAAUUAAUUCUCGUAAUUUCAAAGGAUGGGGAGGUGAAGGGUUUGGCGUUGAAAAAAUGUUUGAGGGAGAAAAAAAACCAAUAUUGAAGAGAAAAAUAAGUAACGUAUAAAUUAAAGAGGAUAUUGAUUACACGUCAUUGAAUAGAGAGGAGAGGAGGAGAGGAGGAGAAGAGUCAAGAACAAAUGUGAGUUCAAAAAAGGGCUACCGAGAUUGAAAGAAAACUUGCCACGUGGCAAGCAACAUUGUGAAUUCAUAUAGUUUAAUAGAUGAUUGUUAAAUUUGGUUAGAUAUGGCAUAUUCAUGAGGUUUAAGGGUUCAAUUUCU
rnacentral:lncRNA from 1 species